rnacentral:lncRNA from 1 species
AUUAAUCAAAUUUUAGAUCCAACUUUAAACCAAUCACGCCUAAUUUCAAAUCCUCUACUAACACUACUUUAAGCUAAUGAUUUAGCCAGAAUCAAAUAUACAAGAAAUCCAGCACUACCUAACAGAAUCUAGCCAUCAAAAUAAGAAGGAAAAGCAUUAUACUAAACUAACAUGAUUUCAUUCUCAAUUACAACCCAUGUUAAACAAACACAUUAAUUAAAACUCCAAGAUCUACAUAGUGAUGCUAUAACUGAAAGGAGAAGAGGUGAAGUCUGCCAAACAACAUCCCAUUUAUCUCAUUUUCAACUCAUGAUUCAAAUUACACAUCAAGUGAGAUCCAUAAGGAUCAAAAAACACCUGGGAAAAGAGGAUACAAAAAAGAAAUGAGAUUCAGUAGGCUUAGUAGUUGGCAGCGAGUAACACAGCUCCCAGAUUCACGAAAAAAUAAGCAAAAGAACCAACUCAAACCAAGUGGUGCAAUACAAACCCCAAAACCCAACUUCGUAGCUAUUUUUAAACCUGAAAUCAAUUCAUAUCAAUCUCAAAUAAACUAGAAGGUAUUUUCAGGACAGGAAACUAUCAAAAAUCAAUAAAGAAAUCAAUAAAAUAGUAGAAUAUGGUCGUCUGUGUAUAUUUGAAAUUCU